UACAGAGGGGCAAGCGUUAUUCGGAAUUAUUGGCGUAAAGGGCGCGUAGGCGGCCAUGCGUGUCUUCCGUGAAAUCCCUCGGCUUAACUGAGGACGUGCGGAAGAAACUGCAAGGGCUCGAGUCCGGGGAGAGGGGGGUGGAAUUCCCAGUGUAGCGGUGAAUGCGUAGAUAUUGGGAGGAACACCGGUGGCGAAGGCGGCCCCCUGGACCGGUACU
rnacentral:rRNA from 1 species